GAUGAACGCUAGCUACAGGCUUAACACAUGCAAGUCGAGGGGUAACGAGAGGAAAGCUUGCUUUCCUUGUCGACGACCGGCGCACGGGUGAGUAACGCGUAUCCAACCUGCCCCCAACUAGGGAAUAACCUUGCGAAAGUAAGACUAAUACCCUAUAAUUUCCUCAGAUGUCAUCUGACGAGGAAUAAAGAUUUAUCGGUUGUGGAUGGGGAUGCGUCUGAUUAGCUGGUUGGCUGGGUAACGGCCCACCAAGGCAACGAUCAGUAGGGGUUCUGAGAGGAAGGUCCCCAACAUUGGAACUGCGACACGGUCCAAACUCCUAAGGGAGGCAGCAGUGAAGAAUAUUGGUCAAUGGGCGGAAGCCUGAACCAGCCAAGUAGCGUGCAGGAUGACGGCCCUAUGGGUUGUAAACUGCUUUCAUACAGGAAUAACGUUAGCCACGUGUGGUUAUUUGUAGGUACUGUAUGAAUAAGGACCGGCUAAUUCCGUGCCAGCAGCCGCGGUAA
rnacentral:rRNA from 1 species